AGUGAACGCUGGCGGUAGGCCUAACACAUGCAAGUCGAACGGCAGCACAGUAAGAGCUUGCUCUUACGGGUGGCGAGUGGCGGACGGGUGAUGAAUACAUCGGAAUCUACUUUUUCGUGGGGGAUAACGUAGGGAAACUUACGCUAAUACCGCAUACGACCUACGGGUGAAAGCAGGGGAUCUUCGGACCUUGCGCGACUGAAUGAGCCGAUGUCGGAUUAGCUAGUUGGCGGGGUAAAGGCCCACCAAGGCGACGAUCCGUAGCUGGUCUGAGAGGAUGGUCAGCCACACUGGAACUGAGACACGGUCCAGACUCCUACGGGAGGCAGCAGUGGGGAAGAUUGGACAAUGGGCGCAAGCCGGAUCCAGCCAUACCGCGUGGGUGAAGAAGGCCUUCGGGUUGUAAAGCCCUUUUGUUGGGAAAGAAAAGCAGCAGGUUAAUACCCCGCUGUUCUGACGGUACCCAAAGAAUAAGCACCGGCUAACUUCGUG
rnacentral:rRNA from 1 species